rnacentral:ncRNA from 2 species
AAAUUGAAUAGUCAGAAGGGUGUACAAAGUACUUAAUAAGGAAUCUGGUGAAAUGCCAGAACAGCCACCGCUACUGUGACAGGGACGAAAACCAAAAUAUCACUGGAGAGAUCCGGGAAGAUGGUAAGUAGGAAGAACUGGAGUCAGGAGACUUGCCUUUUUGACAGAAGAAUU